ensembl:misc_RNA
AAGUUCCUCAGGCUGCUCUUUCCUGUAAGUUACCUGUGCUAACGUUUUAGUGAUUUUUUGGUGUGGUCCUAGCAGUGCUAUACUCUCAGACAGGGUUUCCCAUCUCUCCAUCUCUAGACUGAUGAAAUCACAUC